GCGACGCCGCGUGAGGGAUGACGGCCUUCGGGUUGUAAACCUCUUUCAGCAGGGAAGAAGCGAAAGUGACGGUACCUGCAGAAGAAGCGCCGGCUAACUACGUGCCAGCAGCCGCGGUAAUACGUAGGGCGCAAGCGUUGUCCGGAAUUAUUGGGCGUAAAGAGCUCGUAGGCGGCUUGUCACGUCGGAUGUGAAAGCCCGGGGCUUAACCCCGGGUCUGCAGUCGAUACGGGCAGGCUAGAGUUCGGUAGGGGAGAUCGGAAUUCCUGGUGUAGCGGUGAAAUGCGCAGAUAUCAGGAGGAACACCGGUGGCGAAGGCGGAUCUCUGGGCCGAUACUGACGCUGAGGAGCGAAAGCGUGGGGAGCGAACAGGAUUAGAUACCCUGGUAGUCCACGCCGUAAACGGUGGGCACUAGGUGUGGGCAACAUUCCACGUUGUCCGUGCCGCAGCUAACGCAUUAAGUGCCCCGCCUGGGGAGUACGGCCGCAAGGCUAAAACUCAAGAAAUU
rnacentral:rRNA from 1 species